AUGCAUUGUUUUGCAUGGUGGAAAGUGUGUGUUCCCAAGAAGAAGGGUGGUAUGGGGUUUAGGAACCUUCACAACUUUAAGUGGGCUAUGUUAGCAAAAUAGUGUUGGCGACUUCUCAAGAAUCGUGAAUCUUUAUGUGCAUGAUUUUUGAGGGCUAAGUAUUAUCCGGAUGGUGACAUACUGAAAGCAGGGCCGAAGAAGGGUUCUUCGUAUACAUGGCAAAGCAAUGUUCCAGGUAUCCAAACUUCCAAAAGAGGAUGUAUUUGGUGA
rnacentral:rRNA from 1 species